UAACAUGGGAAGAGGUGGAGGGUGGUAGAGAAGGUGUCGAGAAAAAGCAUACGAGGCCCUGGAGGGUGCAGAGACCAGUAGACGGAAUAAAGGCCGAUCGAGGCAAAGAAAGGCCCGGUUGAGGCCCUUUUAGUA
ensembl:ncRNA T06E8.6 ncRNA